AAAAUCCGGGAUUCUAAGGCCGAGAGCUGAUGACGAGUGUUCUUUUAGAACACGAAGUGGUUGAUGCCAUGCUUCCAAGAAAAGCUUCUAAGCUUCAGGUAACCAGGAACCGUACCCCAAACCGACACAGGUGGUUGGGUAGAGAAUACCAAGGCGCUUGAGAGAACUCGGGUGAAGGAACUAGGCAAAAUGGCACCGUAACUUCGGGAGAAGGUGCGCCGGUGAGGGUGAAGCAUUUACUGCCUAAGCCCAUGCCGGUCGAAGAUACCAGGCCGCUGCGACUGUUUAUUAAAAACACAGCACUCUGCAAACACGAAAGUGGACGUAUAGGGUGUGACGCCUCCCCGGUGCCGGAAGGUUAAUUGAUGGGGUUAGCUAACGCGAAGCUCUUGAUCGAAGCCCCGGUAAACGGCGGCCGUAACGAUAACGGUCCUAAGGUAGCGAAAUUCCUUGUCGGGUAAGUUCCGACCUGCACGAAUGGCGUAACGAUGGCGGCGCUGUCUCCACCCGAGACUCAGUGAAAUUGAAAUCGCUGUGAAGAUGCAGUGUAUCCGCGGCUAGACGGAAAGACCCCGUGAACCUUUACUAUAGCUUUGCACUGGACUUUGAAUUUGCUUGUGUAGGAUAGGUGGGAGGCUUUGAAGCGUGGACGCCAGUUCGCGUGGAGCCAACCUUGAAAUACCACCCUGGCAACUUUGAGGUUCUAACUCAGGUCCGUUAUCCGGAUCGAGGACAGUGUAUGGUGGGUAGUUUGGCUGGGGCGGUCUCCUCCUAAAGAGUAACGGAGGAGUACGAAGGUGCGCUCAGACCGGUCGGAAAUCGGUCGUAGAGUAUAAAGGCAAAAGCGCGCUUGACUGCGAGACGGACACGUCGAGCAGGUACGAAAGUAGGUCUUAGUGAUCCGGUGGUUCUGUAUGGAAGGGCCAUCGCUCAACGGAUAAAAGGUACUCCGGGGAUAACAGGCUGAUACCGCCCAAGAGUUCAUAUCGACGGCGGUGUUUGGCACCUCGAUGUCGGCUCAUCACAUCCUGGGGCUGAAGCCGGUCCCAAGGGUAUGGCUGUUCGCCAUUUAAAGUGGUACGCGAGCUGGGUUUAGAACGUCGUGAGACAGUUCGGUCCCUAUCUGCCGUGGACGUUUGAGAUUUGAGAGGGGCUGCUCCUAGUACGAGAGGACCGGAGUGGACGAACCUCUGGUGUUCCGGUUGUCACGCCAGUGGCAUUGCCGGGUAGCUAUGUUCGGAAUAGAUAACCGCUGAAAGCAUCUAAGCGGGAAACUAGCCUCAAGAUGAGAUCUCACUGGGACCUUGAGUCCCCUGAAGGGCCGUCGAAGACUACGACGUUGAUAGGUUGGGUGUGUAAGCGCUGUGAGGCGUUGAGCUAACCAAUACUAAUUGCCCGUGAGGCUUGACCAA
rnacentral:rRNA from 1 species